rnacentral:ribozyme from 14 species
AAGAUCAAUCGGCAGUGCUUAUUAUGUUCUUUUGUUAUUGAAAUAUAACAUGUGAUAAUAUUUUUUUUCUUCUAUGUUUUAACAUGAAGUGAAAAAUGAUA